UAGGAAGAAAAAUAUUGAUGUUGAACAGGAUAGAAUUUUUGCAGCCUAUAAUAAAGAAACCAAGUUGCAAUCCAAACUCUCCUGAUGUCUAUAGCAGAAGAAGACACACAGUUAUACAGGCAGGCUUCAUUGACUGCAGCUCAAAUCACUGCAGUCCCCAGAGUUCUUCUACAAGGACAACCAAGGCACUUUUUGGUCCAAACUCAACCCUGAAGUCACUGAAAUGUCAUGAUAAUCAAUUUUAUUCAGAAACGUCUAGAGAUCAGUGCAGAUGGUUGCUGCGAAAAAUCCUGUACCUCACCAAACUACAGCUCCAAGAGCGUAUUUCCAUAAAAAUAGUCAUGGAAUUUAAACCGGUAUACAACUUAUAUAAAUGUGUAGUGCAGAGAUAUGUUUUCAUACUGCAGUAUUGAAGAGAAAGUAUUCCUUGUUGCAUCAUUGGAAAUGUGUCUCUCCUGUCUCUGGCUUCUAAUGCUCCCAAGCACUUAUUUCCCCCCUAUUCUGGCAAUGCCGUUCAGAGUGAUGCAAGAGGUAUCCUACUCUUGCUAACCCCAUCAGACACACCAUAUUUUGUCAUGCUAAACAAGUCCAUUCUGGGCCCUUUCAGGUGGAAACAAAUGCUAUGCCAAUUAAAUGUAAGAAAUGUGAAGGCUGAGUGCUUGGCUCUCUACUGACAUUUUGAGGUUGCUAUGGUGAUUACUCAUCUGUAAUUCAAAGAAGAGAAACAGGA